rnacentral:piRNA from 1 species
UAUACCAUUCCUCCUGUGAACAGUGCAGAA